UACGUAGGGUGCGAGCGUUAAUCGGAAUUACUGGGCGUAAAGCGUGCGCAGGCGGUUCGUUAAGUCUGCUGUGAAAGCCCCGGGCUCAACCUGGGAAUGGCAGUGGAAACUGGCGAGCUGGAGUGCGGCAGAGGGGGGUGGAAUUCCAGGUGUAGCAGUGAAAUGCGUAGAGAUCUGGAGGAACACCGAUGGCGAAGGCAGCCCCCUGGGCUAGCACUGACGCUGAUACACGAAAGCGUGGGGAGCAAACAGG
rnacentral:rRNA from 1 species